UACGGGAGGCAGCAGUAGGGAAUAUUCCACAAUGAGCGAAAGCUUGAUGGAGCGAUACAGCGUGCAUGAUGAAGGCCCUCGGGUUGUAAAGUGCUGUUGCAAGGGAAGAACACUUAGUUGAGGAAAUGCAACUAAGCUGACGGUACCUUGUUAGAAAAGCGAUGGCUAACUAUGUGCCAGCAGCCGCGGUAAU
rnacentral:rRNA from 1 species